rnacentral:rRNA from 1 species
UACGAAGGGGGCUAGCGUUGCUCGGAAUGACUGGGCGUAAAGGGCGCGUAGGCGGCCUCUUAAGUCGAACGUGAAAUCCCCGGGCUCAACCCGGGAACUGCGUCCGAUACUGGGGGGCUUGAAUCCGGGAGAGGGAUGUGGAAUUCCAGGUGUAGCGGUGAAAUGCGUAGAUAUCUGGAGGAACACCGGUGGCGAAGGCGGCAUCCUGGACCGGUAUUGACGCUGAGGCGCGAAAGCCAGGGGAGCAAACGGG